rnacentral:rRNA from 1 species
UGGGGAAUUUUGGACAAUGGACGCAAGUCUGAUCCAGCCAUGCCGCGUGCGGGAAGAAGGCCUUCGGGUUGUAAACCGCUUUUGUCGGGGAAGAAACGAGUUUCUCUAAUACAGAGACUUAAUGACGGUACCUGAAGAAUAAGCACCGGCUAACUACGUGCCAGCAGCCGCGGUAAUACGUAGGGUGCAAGCGUUAAUCGGAAUUACUGGGCGUAAAGCGUGCGCAGGCGGUUAUAUAAGACAGAUGUGGAAUCCCCGGGCUCAACCUGGGACCUGCAUUUGUGACUGCAUCGCUGGAGUGCGGCAGAGGGGGAUGGAAUUCCGCGUAUAGCAGUGAAAUGCGUAGAUAUGCGGAGGAACACCGAUGGCGAAGGCAAUCCCCUGGGCCUGCACUGACGCUCAUGCACGAAAGCGUGGGGAGCAAACA